rnacentral:rRNA from 1 species
CACGUAGGGCGCAAGCGUUGUCCGGAAUUAUUGGGCGUAAAGAGCUCGUAGGCGGUCUGUUACGUCUGCUGUGAAAACCCAGGGCUUAACCCUGGGCUUGCAGUGGAUACGGGCAGACUAGAGGCAGGUAGGGGAGAAUGGAAUUCCUGGUGUAGCGGUGAAAUGCGCAGAUAUCAGGAAGAACACCCGUGGCGAAAGCGGCUCUCUGGAACGGUACUGACGCUGAGACGCGAAAGCGUGGGGAGCGAACAGG